rnacentral:rRNA from 1 species
GUCGAGCGAGAUCUUCGGGUCUAGCGGCGGACGGGUGAGUAACGCGUGGGAACGUACCCUUUUCUACGGAAUAGCCUCGGGAAACUGAGAGUAAUACCGUAUACGCCCUUCGGGGGAAAGAUUUAUCGGAGAAGGAUCGGCCCGCGUUGGAUUAGGUAGUUGGUGGGGUAAUGGCCUACCAAGCCGACGAUCCAUAGCUGGUUUGAGAGGAUGAUCAGCCACACUGGGACUGAGACACGGCCCAGACUCC